rnacentral:rRNA from 1 species
UACGUAGGGUGCAAGCGUUAAUCGGAAUACUGGGCGUAAAGCGUGCGCAGGCGGUUUGUUAAGACAGAUGUGAAAUCCCCCGGGCUUAACCUGGGAACUGCAUUUGUGACUGGCAAGCUAGAGUAUGGCAGAGGGGGGUAGAAUUCCACGUGUAGCAGUGAAAUGCGUAGAGAUGUGGAGGAAUACCCGAUGGCGAAGGCAGCCCCCUGGGGCCCAAUACU